AUUGAACGCUGGCGGCAGGCCUAACACAUGCAAGUCGAGCGGAUGAAGGGAGCUUGCUCCUGGAUUCAGCGGCGGACGGGUGAGUAAUGCCUAGGAAUCUGCCUGGUAGUGGGGGAUAACGUCCGGAAACGGGCGCUAAUACCGCAUACGUCCUGAGGGAGAAAGUGGGUGAUCUUCGGACCUCACGCUAUCAGAUGAGCCUAGGUCGGAUUAGCUAGUUGGUGGGGUAAAGGCCUACCAAGGCGACGAUCCGUAACUGGUCUGAGAGGAUGACCAGUCACACUGGAACUGAGACACGGUCCAGACUCCUACGGGAGGCAGCAGUGGGGAAUAUUGGACAAUGGGCGAAAGCCUGAUCCAGCCAUGCCGCGUGUGUGAAGAAGGUCUUCGGAUUGUAAAGCACUUUAAGUUGGGAGGAAGGGCAGUAAGUUAAUACCUUGCUGUUUUGACGUUACCAACAGAAUAAGCACCGGCUAACUUCGUG
rnacentral:rRNA from 1 species